rnacentral:rRNA from 1 species
AUGCAAUACGUCCAAGAUCUUGGUGCCAAGGUCUGCUUCGCUUCUGUUGCUCAUCCGAGAAGUAACGGUCAAGCGGAAAGGGCGAAUGCUGAAGUGCUGCACAGGCUCAAGACUAGGACUUUCGACAGGCUGUACAAGUGCGGAAAGAACUGGAUUGAGGAGCUGCCGGUGGUUCUUUGGUCGAUCAGGACGACGCCAACUCGAGCCACUGGCCAGACACCUUUCGCUCUAGUCUAUGGAGCAGAGGCAGUUCUCCCCAUGGAACUCAUAUACGGAUCACCUCGAGUGCUCGCUUAUGAUGAGCUUGAGCAAGAGCAGUUGCGACAAGAUGACGUGCUGCUCCUUGAGGAGGACCGUCUUCAGGCCGCUGUACGAGCUGCUCGAUACCAGCAAGCUUUGCGCCGCUACCAUAGCCGCAAAGUUAGUGCCAGAAUUCUCGAGGAAGGCGACCUUGUUCUUCGGCGCGUUCAGUCCGCCAAGAAUUCCAACAAGUUGACGCCGAAGUGGGAAGGCCCUUACCGGGUGAAACGAUUCAAUAGGCCUGGCGCUGUCCGCCUUGAGACCGAAGAUGGCAUUCCGGUGAGCAACUCCUGGAACAUUGAGCAUCUUCGUAAGUUUUACCCGUAG